GUGAGGAAUAUUGGUCAAUGGGCGAGAGCCUGAACCAGCCAAGUCGCGUGAAGGAAGAAGGAUCUAUGGUUCGUAAACUUCUUUUGCAGGGGAAUAAAGUGCAGGACGUGUCCUGUUUUGUAUGUACCCUGAGAAUAAGGAUCGGCUAACUCCGUGCCAGCAGCCGCGGUAAUACGGAGGAUCCGAGCGUUAUCCGGAUUUAUUGGGUUUAAAGGGUGCGUAGGUGGUUUGAUAAGUCAGCGGUGAAAGUUUGCAGCUUAACUGUAAAAAAUGCCGUUGAAACUGUCGGACUUGAGUGUAAAUGAGGUAGGCGGAAUGCGUGGUGUAGCGGUGAAAUGCAUAGAUAUCACGCAGAACUCCGAUUGCGAAGGCAGCUUACUAAGCUACAACUGACACUGAAGCACGAAAGCGUGGGGAUCAAACAGGAUUAGAAACCCCGGUAGUCC
rnacentral:rRNA from 1 species